CUCUUUUCUCUUGUACCUCCAUCCUAUCUGCGGCUGGAUUUGAUCAUCGCCAUGUCUUCUCACAAGACUUUCAGGAUCAAGCGAUUUCUGGCCAAGAAACAAAAGCAGAAUCGUCCCAUUCCCCAAUGGAUUCGAAUGAAAACUGGUAAUAAAAUCAGGUACAACUCUAAGAGAAGACAUUGGAGAAGAACCAAGCUGGGUCUAUAAUGAGCCUCACAUAUGAAUUCACACACAUUAUCAGAACAUCACUAGUGUCUGGAACAGCUGCCUGUGUUUGAUGCUCUCUCCUCUUGAGCUUUCCUCACCACUGCUCACUGUGUAGCUCAGUAAUAAACAUGUAAACCUUUUGUUGGAACUGUUAUUGUAUUAUUCUGGUUUGUGAUGAUGUACUGAAUAAAUACUCCUCCUAUCAGAUGUAACACAGGACUGUCCGAUGAUAGAAAUGUUCUCUAGUUACCAGGUACUUAGAAGUAUGUCUAGUAAAAGUAAGGAACUGGUUUUUUUAGAUUUUGUUGUUUAAUAGCUCCCUGUAACUAGCAGCUCUUAUACCUACUGUUAUGGGAAGUGCAUGUAUGUGUCAUCCUCAUACCUGAGGGUAGCACCUUCUUAAAAUAAAAGGCUUUUGUGGGUGGGGGGCAUGCCACGAUGCAGGCAAGGUCUUAGUUCCCUGACCAAGGAUCGAACUUGUGCAGUCUUAACUACUGGACUGCCAGGGAAGUCCCAUAAAAAGCAUCUUCAUAUACUAUUCUGUGGUGCCAGUCCUCAGAGUAGGAAUCAUGUGAGCCAGGGAUUGGCAAACUGGUCUGCUGACUGUUUUCAUAUGGCCUGUGAACUAAAGUUAUGCAUUUUAAAAUUUAUUUUAAAAUAAAUUUAUGUAUUUAUUUU
rnacentral:lncRNA from 1 species